rnacentral:rRNA from 1 species
AGGACGAACGCUGGCGGCGUGCCUAACACAUGCAAGUCGAACGAGGUCCAACCGGUGGCAACACUGGUGAAGACCUAGUGGCGAACGGGUGAGUAUCACGUGAGCAACCUGCCCCGAAGACUGGGAUAACACCGGGAAACCGGUGCUAAUACCGGAUACCCCCACCGGAUCGCAUGGUCUGGUGAGGAAAUGAAUUUUGCUUUGGGAGGGACUCGCGGCCUAUCAGCUUGUUGGUGGUGUAACGGACCACCAAGGCUUCGACGGGUAGCUGGUCUGAGAGGACGAUCAGCCACACUGGGACUGAGACACGGCCCAGACUCCUACGGGAGGCAGCAGUGGGGAAUCUUGCGCAAUGGGCGAAAGCCUGACGCAGCAACGCCGCGUGAGGGACGAAGGCCUUCUGGGUUGUAAACCUCUUUCAGCAGGGACGAUGAUGACGGUACCUGCAGAGAGCCCCGGCAACUACGUGCCAGCAGCCGCGGU